rnacentral:rRNA from 1 species
CUUGUUUGAUCCUGGCUCAGGACGAACGCUGGCGGCGUGCCUAAUACAUGCAAGUCGAACGGUUCUUUCUUUUGGAAGCUUGCUUCCGAUCGAGAGAAUAGUGGCGAACGGGUGAGUAACACGUGGGUAACCUGCCCAUAAGAGGGGGAUAACAUCCGGAAACGGGUGCUAAUACCGCAUAGUUUUUUUGAUCGCAUGAUCGAGAAAGGAAAGACGGCCUUUGUGCUGUCGCUUAUGGAUGGACCCGCGGCGUAUUAGUUAGUUGGUGAGGUAAUGGCUCACCAAGACGAUGAUACGUAGCCGACCUGAGAGGGUGAUCGGCCACAUUGGGACUGAGACACGGCCCAAACUCCUACGGGAGGCAGCAGUAGGGAAUCUUCCGCAAUGGACGAAAGUCCGACGGAGCAACGCCGCGUGAGUGAAGAAGGUUUUCGGAUCGUAAAACUCUGUUGUCAGAGAAGAACAAGUCGGAGAGUAACUGCUCCGGCCUUGACGGUAUCUGACCAGAAAGCCACGGCUAACUACGUGCCAGCAGCCGCGGUAAUACGUAGGUGGCAAGCGUUGUCCGGAUUUAUUGGGCGUAAAGCGAGCGCAGGCGGUUCCUUAAGUCUGAUGUGAAAGCCCACGGCUCAACCGUGGAAGGUCAUUGGAAACUGGGGAACUUGAGUGCAGAAGAGGAGAGUGGAAUUCCAUGUGUAGCGGUGAAAUGCGUAGAUAUAUGGAGGAACACCAGUGGCGAAGGCGACUCUCUGGUCUGUAACUGACGCUGAGGCUCGAAAGCGUGGGGAGCAAACAGGAUUAGAUACCCUGGUAGUCCACGCCGUAAACGAUGAGUGCUAAGUGUUGGAGGGUUUCCACCCUUCAGUGCUGCAGCUAACGCAUUAAGCACUCCNCNUGGGGAGU